rnacentral:piRNA from 1 species
UCACAGUGGAAUGGGCCCUCUAAGGCAAU